UACGAGGGCCCCAAGCGUUGUCCGGAUUUAUUGGGCGUAAAGGGCGCGUAGGAGGUCCCUCGCGUUUCAUCUUAAAGCCCCGGGCUUAACCCGGGAAUUGGAUGGAAUACGGAGGGACUUGAGGGCGUAAGAGGCAGAUGGAACGCACGGUGUAGGGGUGAAAUCCGUUGAUAUCGUGCGGAACACCAAAGGCGAAGGCAUUCUGCUGGGACGUUCCUGACUCUGAGGCGCGAAAGCGUGGGGAGCGAAUGGG
rnacentral:rRNA from 1 species